rnacentral:siRNA from 1 species
UGCCGCGUGUUGAAGGCCA